ensembl:lncRNA
GUACGGACAAAUCCCACCUGUUUCCAAUAUCCUAAGACUAGUGUUGAUGCGCGUUUCUUUCCAAUGUUCUUAAUUUUAAUUAAAAAUUUAAAUUAUUAAAGAUUUCACACAUUCAAAAGAAGUUACGUAACAAACACCCAUGUACCACCCUCCCCCAUUUGCCUCACUUCUCUCUCCUUUCUGUUUUGGUGAGGAAGAUUGGCCCUGAGCUAACAUCUGUGACAGUCUUCCUCCACUCUGUAUAGGGAUGCCACCACAGCGUGGGUUGAUGAGCGGUGGGUGUGUCCGCACCAGGGACCUGAACCAGCGAACCCUGGGCGGCUGAAGAGGAGCGUGGGAACAUAACCACCCUGCCGCCGGGAUGGCCCCAUCGCGUCUGGCUUGCUUGAAAUAGCCCGUGAGGACCCCUCAGCAGGGGCUCCUGAAGAAGACCUCUGCCCAAGGCCUCAGAUAGAGACCUGUGGCUGUCAACACUGAGAAGAGCUUGACGGUCAGCGGAGCUGAGUCCUUGACGGCAGCUGCCUUUGGGGACCGCAGUGCGCGGCUGGGCGUUCUCUGAGUGGAGUCUUAUCAGUCGGCUGCUUUUUUGGUGGACUGUAUUCUCCUGUUCGCAAGAGCACAUUAAAGCUGUCUUUCCAUUGUGAUCCAGCUUCCAUUUUGGCUGUUGAGAAAUUAGGGUGGCAGCACACUGGUCCUGGCCCGGUGACUCAGCACAUACAUGAGGGUCAUCACACUGUUGAAGGAGUCCAAAAAGCGUUCUGGCAGCUGAGGCUCCAAAAUGCCUGCCAGCAGAUGUUUCUGUAUAAAAACAGAAAGAGAAAGAGAGAGAGAGAGCUCACAUUGCCUGGUUCCUGUAUGCAAAAGUUUCAACUACCACGGCUUAAAGAAGACCAGUAGUCCCACAAGGUGGUUUUCAUGUCCGUGACCCCAGUGUAGAAACUGUGCUGCUGCCUGUUCAAAGUUUCUGCUACCUGUUCAGUCUGCAGAUCACUACCUAGAUCAAGAAGGCACAUCAUGAUCAGUGACAACAGCGAUCUGUCGGUGGUUACUCAGGGCAUAUCUGUUUUUCACGUCACACAGACGACAAAAUGUGUUGUUUUGUUGCCAUCUUGUCUCCCCCCUGAAAUGGAUAAUCGAAAGAGGGAAUUGCCCAAGAAAGAUGGAAAUGCAGCAAAGAAGUGAAAAGUGAUGAUGCGAGAAGUGAGCUUGGAUGUGAUUAGGAGACAGCUGAGCAGGGGUAGGAUGAUGCUGUUUGAGACACUGUAGGUGUGUGACCAGAGGAGCUUCAUGAAGGCGAGCUUACCAACAUGAACGAGCCCAGGCUGAAGACGUCCCAGGGGAGGUGACGCUGGUGAAAACUUGGACGUUAAGGGAACUCUGAAACAUCACACGACAGUGAAAGUGCGAAGAAUGCAAUGUUGAAAGCUGAUCAAAAGUUAGAAAGGACUAGGGCAAUCCAUCAAGUCAUAGAAAAUAUACAAUGCGAAGAGGUAAGCACUGUUGAAACUGCUCUUUUUUAUUGAGGUAACGUUGCUUUAUAGCAUUGUGUGGAUGUCAGGUGCACAGCAUUAUAUUUCACUUUCUGUAUUGAUUACAUCGUGUUCCCCACCAGAAGUCUAGUUGCCAUCCGUCGUUGUACCCAUGUGCCCUUUUACCCUCCCUCAACCCCGUUCCCCUCUGGUAACCAUCAGUUGGUUCUCUGUGUCUAUGUGUUUGGUUGUUUAUCUUCCACACAUGAGUGAAAUCAUAUGGUAUUUCUCUUUCUCUGUCUGACUUAUUUCUCUUAGCGUAAUACCCUCGAGGUCCAUCCGUGUUGUCACAAAUGGCAAGAUGUCAAACUACUCUU